UACGAAGGGGGCUAGCGUUGCUCGGAAUUACUGGGCAUAAAGCGCGCGUAGGUGGCUUGAUAAGUCGGUGGUGAAAUCCCAUGGCUCAACCAUGGAACUGCCGUCGAUACUGUCAGGCUUGAGGGCGGUAGGGGAGAGUGGAACUCCUGGUGUAGCGGUGAAAUGCGUAGAUAUCAGGAGGAACACCGGUGGCGAAGGCGGCCCUCUGGACGGAUACUGACGCUGAGGCGCGAAAGCGUGGGGAUCAAACAGG
rnacentral:rRNA from 1 species